rnacentral:rRNA from 1 species
AUCACUAAGCGGAGGAAAAGAAACUAACAAGGAUUCCCCCAGUAACGGCGAGUGAAGCGGGAAGAGCCCAGCACCGAAUCCUACGGCCUUGCGCCGUCGGGACCUGUGGUGUUUAGGACGACCGCUGUUGCCUUGUUCGGGUGCCCAAGUCCUCCUGAUCGGGGCCUUUCCCAUAGCGGGUGUUAGGCCUUUAGCGGCACACGACAAGGCGGCUUUGGACGUCCCAGGAGUCGGGUUGUUUGGGAAUGCAGCCCAAAGUGGGUGGUAAACUCCAUCUAAGGCUAAAUACUGACACGAGUCCGAUAGCGGACAAGUACCGUGAGGGAAAGUUGAAAA